rnacentral:rRNA from 2 species
AGAGUUUGAUCCUGGCUCAGGAUGAACGCUGGCGGCGUGCCUAAUACAUGCAAGUCGAGCGAACGGACGAGAAGCUUGCUUCUCUGAUGUUAGCGGCGGACGGGUGAGUAACACGUGGAUAACCUACCUAUAAGACUGGGAUAACUUCGGGAAACCGGAGCUAAUACCGGAUAAUAUUUUGAACCGCAUGGUUCAAAAGUGAAAGACGGUCUUGCUGUCACUUAUAGAUGGAUCCGCGCUGCAUUAGCUAGUUGGUAAGGUAACGGCUUACCAAGGCAACGAUGCAUAGCCGACCUGAGAGGGUGAUCGGCCACACUGGAACUGAGACACGGUCCAGACUCCUACGGGAGGCAGCAGUAGGGAAUCUUCCGCAAUGGGCGAAAGCCUGACGGAGCAACGCCGCGUGAGUGAUGAAGGUCUUCGGAUCGUAAAACUCUGUUAUUAGGGAAGAACAUAUGUGUAAGUAACUGUGCACAUCUUGACGGUACCUAAUCAGAAAGCCACGGCUAACUACGUGCCAGCAGCCGCGGUAAUACGUAGGUGGCAAGCGUUAUCCGGAAUUAUUGGGCGUAAAGCGCGCGUAGGCGGUUUUUUAAGUCUGAUGUGAAAGCCCACGGCUCAACCGUGGAGGGUCAUUGGAAACUGGAAAACUUGAGUGCAGAAGAGGAAAGUGGAAUUCCAUGUGUAGCGGUGAAAUGCGCAGAGAUAUGGAGGAACACCGGUGGCGAAGGCGACUUUCUGGUCUGUAACUGACGCUGAUGUGCGAAAGCGUGGGGAUCAAACAGGAUUAGAUACCCUGGUAGUCCACGCCGUAAACGAUGAGUGCUAAGUGUUAGGGGGUUUCCGCCCCUUAGUGCUGCAGCUAACGCAUUAAGCACUCCGCCUGGGGAGUACGACCGCAAGGUUGAAACUCAAAGGAAUUGACGGGGACCCGCACAAGCGGUGGAGCAUGUGGUUUAAUUCGAAGCAACGCGAAGAACCUUACCAAAUCUUGACAUCCUUUGACAACUCUAGAGAUAGAGCCUUCCCCUUCGGGGGACAAAGUGACAGGUGGUGCAUGGUUGUCGUCAGCUCGUGUCGUGAGAUGUUGGGUUAAGUCCCGCAACGAGCGCAACCCUUAAGCUUAGUUGCCAUCAUUAAGUUGGGCACUCUAAGUUGACUGCCGGUGACAAACCGGAGGAAGGUGGGGAUGACGUCAAAUCAUCAUGCCCCUUAUGAUUUGGGCUACACACGUGCUACAAUGGACAAUACAAAGGGCAGCGAAACCGCGAGGUCAAGCAAAUCCCAUAAAGUUGUUCUCAGUUCGGAUUGUAGUCUGCAACUCGACUACAUGAAGCUGGAAUCGCUAGUAAUCGUAGAUCAGCAUGCUACGGUGAAUACGUUCCCGGGUCUUGUACACACCGCCCGUCACACCACGAGAGUUUGUAACACCCGAAGCCGGUGGAGUAACCUUUUAGGAGCUAGCCGUCGAAGGUGGGACAAAUGAUUGGGGUGAAGUCGUAACAAGGUAGCCGUAUCGGAAGGUGCGGCUGGAUCACCU